rnacentral:rRNA from 1 species
GAUGAACGCUGGCGGCGUGCUUAACACAUGCAAGUCGAACGAUGAAGCCCAGCUUGCUGGGUGGAUUAGUGGCGAACGGGUGAGUAACACGUGAGUAACCUGCCCUUAACUCUGGGAUAGGCCUGGGAAACUGGGUCUAAUACCGGAUAGGAGCGUCCACCGCAUGGUGGGUGUUGGAAAGAUUUAUCGGUUUUGGAUGGACUCGCGGCCUAUCAGCUUGUUGGUGAGGUAAUGGCUCACCAAGGCGACGAGGGGUAGCCGGCCUGAGAGGGUGACCGGCCACACUGGGACGGAGACACGGCCCAGACUCCUACGGGAGGCAGCAGUGGGGAAUAUUGCACAAUGGGCGCAAGCCUGAUGCAGCGACGCCGCGUGAGGGAUGACGGCCUUCGGGUUGUAAACCUCUUUCAGUAGGGAAGAAGCGAAAGUGACGGUACCUGCAGAAGAAGCACCGGCUAACUACGU